rnacentral:rRNA from 1 species
AUGUGGGUGAAAAGGGGUGGGAACGGUAAAGGGUUCCCAUAACCCGGGCCUGGGGGAUGGGGCUCGCCGGGCCCCAUCAGGCUUAGUUGGUGGGGGUAAACGGGCCCUAACCCAAGGGCGACGACGGGGUAGCCCGGCCCUGAGAGGGGGUGACCGGGCCCACAGGUGGGGACUGAGACCACCGGCCCCACCACCUCCCUACGGGGAGGGCAAGCAAGCGGGGAAAUCUUGCGCGAAUGGGGCGAAAAGCUCUGACGCAAGCGACGCCGCGUGAGGGGUAAGGGAAGCCUCUUUCGGGGGGUGUUAAACUCUUCUUUGGACGGGGGAGAAAGUUAGGAAGAUUAGUUACCCCGUUUAAAAAAGCCCACGGGCUAACUUACGUGCCCAGCAGCCCGCGGUUAAUACCGUAGGGUGGCGGAGCGUUGUCCCGGAAUUACUGGGCGGUAAAGGGUUGCCGUAGGCGGCCCUGGUAAGGUUGAGCGUGAAAAUUUUUGGGCUCAACCCAAAAGGAGCGUUCAAGACUGCCAGGGCUUGAGUGCGCGGGAGAGGGACGGCGGAUUUCCCGGUGUGUAGCCGGUGAAAUGCGUAGAUAUAUCCGGGAGGAACACAGGUGGGCGAAAGCGGGCCGUCUGGGACCGUAACUGAACGCUGGAGGCACGAAAGCGGUGGGGGAGCAAACAGGAGUUUAGAUACCCUUGGUUAGUCCACGGCUGUAAACGAUGGAUAGGCUUAAGUGUGUGUGUGGGGGAGAAAAAAGAACUCUUCCCGUGACGUUAGUAACAACAAUAAGCAUCCUGACCUUGGGGAGUACGCCCGCAAAGGUUGAAACUAAAAGGAAUGGACGGGGGCCCGCCACAAGCGGUGGAAGCAUGUGGUUUAUUUGGAAGCAACGGGAAGACCCUUACCCAGGCCUUGACAUCCCGGGGACCUGCCGGAAAGGGUGGGGUGCCUAACGGUAAGGUUAGGAACCCCGGACACAGGUGGUGCAUGGUUGUCGUCAGCUCGUGUCGUGAGAUGUUGGGUUAAAGUCCCGCAACGA